CACGUAGGGACCAAGCGUUGUCCGGAUUUAUUGGGCGUAAAGCGCUCGUAGGCGGUUCGGUAAGUCGGGUGUGAAACCUCCAGGCUCAACCUGGUGACGCCACCCGAUACUGCCGUGACUUGAGUUCGGUAGGGGAGCGGGGAAUUCCUGGUGUAGCGGUGAAAUGCGCAGAUAUCAGGAAGAACACCCGUGGCGAAGGCGGCUCUCUGGGACGGUACUGACGCUGAGACGCGAAAGCGUGGGGAGCAAACAGG
rnacentral:rRNA from 1 species